rnacentral:tRNA from 1 species
UGUAGAAGCUGGCAUUACACCAGUACGAAUAACUCAUAAUCGAUUGGUCCCCAGUUCAAGUCUGGGAGGGGCCACCA